rnacentral:lncRNA from 1 species
UUUCUUGUUUGUCAUUCCCUAUUUCCUGUACUGGAAACCAUGUUGCUGAACUCACCUAAUAAAGAAGUGUCUGCUAAUAGUUGCUCUUCAGGGGGAGAUUGUGACGAGCAGGCCUGGAUUUCAGAGCGCGCUGCAGAAUCUACUUCUCAGACCCAUUUCUGACCGUGUCUCACUCAUGUAGCAACACCCUUGGCUGCGGUGAACUCUCCUCAUCCAGACUAUACUGGCUUGUUGCUUGGAUGCAUUGCUGACUUGGGAGCUCAAGACCAAAGAUUCUUUCGAGCCUUCUGUCCUAUCAUGUAGCUGAAUACAUUCAACAAUCCCAAAAGUGACUCUCUGGCUGUGUGCGUGUGGAUGGGCUGAGCUGAGGGCUGUACCUAAGCCACUUUCAACUCUCACAGUGCUUCUUAUCCCCACUGGCCAAGGAAGCCAUGCAUCCUUUUCCUGAGCCUGCACGUCAACAUGUGGCUGCGGUGGAAAUGAAGGACACCUGUGAGCGUCACCGACCACCUCUGCAAGUCCCCUGUCAGGCUGAGGAAAGGAUGUCUCUGCGCCGCCUCCACGGACCCAUUAAAGGCAAGCGGGGUUUUUCCUCUAUUGUAAUCUCAACAACAACACACCUCAAACUGCCUUCUCUAAUAAUGAAAUUAGACACGCAGUACAUUGGAAUAUUUUAUUUUGACUUUACAUGCGGUGUUAAAAACCCAAAUAACGUAUUAUUUACACAUCCACAAUACAAGUUUACAAGAUAUCUAUACAUGUUAAAGUACUCUAUAGUAUAG